AAUGAACGCUGGCGGCGUGCCUAACACAUGCAAGUCGAGCGAGAAAGUCUCUUCGGAGAUAAGUACAGCGGCGGACGGGUGAGUAACGCGUGAGAAUUUACCCUUUAGUGAAGAAUACCUCUGAGAAAUCAGGGUUAAUACUGCAUACGUCCCUACGGGGAGAAAGGUGGCCUCUUUGCUGCCGCUAAAGGAUAAGCUUGCGUACUAUUAGCUAGUUGGUGAGGUAAAGGCUCACCAAGGCGAUGAUGGUUAGCCGGCCUGAGAGGGUGUACGGCCACACUGGAACUUAGACACGGUCCAGACUCCUACGGGAGGCAGCAGUGAGGAAUAUUGCGCAAUGGGCGAAAGCCUGACGCAGCGACGCCGCGUGGAGGAUGAAGGUCUUCGGAUUGUAAACUACCUGUUAAGUGGGAAGAAAGACCUAUUUCUAAUACAGAUAGGGAGUGACGGUACCAUUAGAGAAAGCACCGGCUAACUUCGUGCCAGCAGCCGCGGU
rnacentral:rRNA from 1 species